CCAGCAGCUGCGGUAAUUCCAGCUCCAAUAGCGUAUAUUAAAGUUGUUGCAGUUAAAAAGCUCGUAGUUGGAUUUGUGGUUGGAGAGGUCCGCCGUUGCUAUGCUUCGUGUUGGAUCUUUCCGUCCAUCCUUGGGUGGAUCCUGUGUGGCAUUCAGUUGUCGUGCAGGGGAUGCCCAUCGUUUACUGUGAAAAAAUUAGAGUGUUCAAAGCAGGCUUACGCCUUGAAUAUAUUAGCAUGGAAUAAUAAGAUAGGACCUGGGUACUAUUUUGUUGGUUUGCGCACCGAGGUAAUGAUUAAUAGGGACAGUUGGGGGUAUUCGUAUUCCAUUGUCAGAGGUGAAAUUCUUGGAUUUUUGGAAGACGAACUACUGCGAAAGCAUUUACCAAGGAUGUUUUCAUUAAUCAAGAACGAAAGU
rnacentral:rRNA from 1 species